UCGAUAUGUGGUUACAUGUAAGACCAUGUCUGGGACGUUGGUAUUGUACGAUAUAUGUGUGACUAUCCGAGUGUCCUAUCCAAUUCUGAAUGGUCCAACAGGCAUCGAUAAGUUGAGAUAAAAUGUGCAAAAGUGAGCUAAAAUCGUCAGGUAUGAAUUGGUUUGUUACCUAUUUGAAACUAAGUGAGUAAGUUACUUAAUAUUUGUUGCAAG
rnacentral:lncRNA from 1 species